UACGUAGGGGGCAAGCGUUGUCCGGAAUCAUUGGGCGUAAAGAGCGUGUAGGCGGCCCGAUAAGUCCGCUGUGAAAGUCCAGGGCUCAACCCUGGGAUGCCGGUGGAUACUGUCGGGCUCGAGUCCGGAAGAGGAGUGUGGAAUUCCUGGUGUAGCGGUGAAAUGCGCAGAUAUCAGGAGGAACACCGGUGGCGAAGGCGGAUCUCUGGGCCAGUAUUGACGCUGAGGAGCGAAAGCGUGGGUAGCAAACAGG
rnacentral:rRNA from 1 species